rnacentral:tRNA from 1 species
CUUUUAAAGGAAACGA